GGUCAUAUAAGCUGGGGAACCGAACGAUACCGGAGUUAUGAGCGAUUGAAGUUUCCGCUCAACGCGCUCCGACCGAUUUUCGCGCGCCGCUCGCCGCCUCGAGUCCCGUACACCUGCUCCCUCACUUUCCGGCGUGCGGCCAUUGUCGCGGCUGUUCAUUAGCGACUUCGAGAAUGUACCUACAGAGUAUUUGGCGUGUCCCCGCCUCUCCCGCACAUGCAAACAUGCACCCUCCCUCAUAUUCAAACAAGAAAAAAGGAAGGGAAAAAUUGAUUUCUCUUUGAAUCUCUUCACAUUUGCGUGGGUUGAAUAGGUGCUACAGCAAACACUGGUAUGUUAUCAAGUGCAUAGCUCUCGGCUAGUUGAAGCCAUUAUUUUGUGACUUAUAUUCUCAACUACCCAGGACACACACACGGGGAGGUGGCUACGCGUCGAGUCCCGCCCGUGCCUCCCCAUCCGCCCAACCAUUGAGGCACGCUUACUCUUGAGGAGAAAUCAUUGAACGGAGCAAAACUGGAAUCCUAAAGAAGGAAAAAAAGGUAGAAAGAAGAUUAAAAAAUUUAAUUUGGGCACAGGGGAGAGGGGGGAGUAAAAGUGUGGGAUGAGCAUGCGCUUUCAUCUCAGAAGAGGAAUGUCCUCAACUCGAUGCUUGCAAGGGCCACGCUUUAGUGCGCCUUCGCAACCAACGAGCUGGGGGUUUUCAAGGUAUUAGCAGUAUUCUUACUUUACUAUGCAUACACGUACUUGUUUUUUCCUUGCUUCAUACUCUCCUUUUCUUAAUGUUGUAUUUGUUGUAUUUUAAACUGUCAUUUACCUCUCUUUCUCUCUCUCCCCCCUCCCUCUCUUUCUUUAUGUACUUUCACGAUGAAAGGGAGGCAUCCCCAGCUCGUUGGUUGCGAAGGCGCACUAAAGCGUGGCCCUUGCAAGCAUCGAGUUGAGGACAUUCCUCUUCUGAGAUGAAAGCGCAUGCUCAUCCCACACUUUUACUCCCCCCUCUCCCCUGUGCCCAAAUUAAAUUUUUUUAAUCUUCUUUCUACCUUUUUUUUCCUUCUUUAGGAUUCCAGUUUUGCUCCGUUCAAUGAUUUCUCCUCAAGAGUAAGCGUGCCUCAAUGGUUGGGCGGAUGGGGAGGCACGGGCGGGACUCGACGCGUAGCCACCUCCCCGUGGUGUGUCCUGGGUAGUUGAGAAUAUAAGUCACAAAAUAAUGGCUUCAACUAGCCGAGAGCUAUGCACUUGAUAACAUACCAGUGUUUGCUGUAGCACCUAUUCAACCCACGCAAAUGUGAAGAGAUUCAAAGAGAAAUCAAUUUUUCCCUUCCUUUUUUCUUGUUUGAAUAU
rnacentral:lncRNA from 1 species